UUUUUAUACCCCCGCUUUAAAAAAGGGGGGUAUACUGUUUUACCUCUGUCUGUCAGUCCGUCCGUCAGUCCGUCCGUCCAUCAGUCCGUCAGUCCGUCAGACAGUCCGUCCCAUGAAACUUUCGUCACAUUUUUCUCAGGAACUACACAUCCACCCUUUCUGUAAUUUGGUAUCAACAUUUAUAUAUGUCAGCCAUACCGUGUGAUGCGUUUUCAGAUUCAUCACUUGACAACUUCCUGUUUACCAAACACUUGUCUGAUUUUACACAUGAUAGCCAAUUUGAAAAUUUUCGUCACAUUUUUCUCAGGAACUACAAUACAAGGAUUUCUGAAAUUUGGUUUCAGGAUUUAUAUAAGUCAGCUAUACCGUGUGAUGCGUUUUCAGAUUCAUCACUCGACAACUUCCUGUUUACCGAACACUUGUCUGAUUUUACACAUGAUAGCCAAGUUGAAAAUUUUCGUCACAUUUUUCUCAGGAACUACAAUACAAGGAUUUCUGAAAUUUGGUUUCAGGAUUUAUAUAAGUCAGCUAUACCGUGUGAUGCGUUUUCAGAUUCAUCACUCGACAACUUCCUGUUUACCGAACACUUGUAUGAUUUUACACAUGAUAGCCAAGUUGAAAAUUUUUGUCACAUUUUUCUCAGGAACUACAAUACAAGGAUUUCUGAAAUUUGGUUUCAGGAUUUAUAUAAGUCAGCUAUACCGUGUGAUGCGUUUUCAGAUUCAUCACUCGACAC
rnacentral:lncRNA from 1 species